AUCGAUGAAGAACGCAGCGAAAUGCGAUAAGUAAUGUGAAUUGCAGAAUUCAGUGAAUCAUCGAAUCUUUGAACGCACAUUGCGCCCAUUAGUAUUCUAUUGGGCAUGCCUGUUCGAGCGUCAUUUUGACCACUUAAGCCUGGCUUAGUGUUGGGAAUCUACGUUUGUAGUUCCUUAAAUCUAGUGGCGGAGCCGCAGUGGCCUCUGAGCGUAGUAAUUUUUUCUCGCUUUGGAAGGUUCUGUAGUUUUUGCCAUAAAACCCCCAAUUUUUUAAGGUUGACCUCGGAUCAGGUAGGGAUACCCGCUGAACUUAAGCAUAUCAAUAAGCGGAGGAAAAGAAACCAACAGGGAUUGCCUCAGUAACGGCGAGUGAAGCGGCAACAGCUCAAAUUUGAAAGCUGGUACUUUUAGUGCCCGCGUUGUAAUUUGUAGAGGAUGUUUCGGGUGCGGUGCCGGUCUAAGUUCUUUGGAACAAGACGUCAUAGAGGGUGAGAAUCCCGUAUGUGACUGGUUGCCUGUGCCCAUGUGAAACUCCUUCGACGAGUCGAGUAGUUUGGGAAUGCUGCUCAAAAUGGGAGGUGUAUUUCUUCUAAAGCUAAAUAUUGGCCAGAGACCGAUAGCGCACAAGUAGAGUGAUCGAAAGAUGAAAAGCACUUUGGAAAGAGAGUUAAACAGUACGUGAAAUUGUUGAAAGGGAAGCGCUUGCAAUCAGACUUGCGCGGCGUCGAUCAGCCUGGGUUCUCCCUGGUGUACUCGGCGUCGCUCAGGCCAGCAUCAGUUUCGACGGUGGGAUAAAGGCUUAGGGAACGUGGGUUGCUUCGGUGACCGUUAUAGCCCUAGGUGCAAUGCCGCCUGUCGGGACUGAGGACCGCGCUUCGGCUAGGAUGCUGGCGUAAUGGUUGUAAGCGACCCGUCUUGAAACACGG
rnacentral:rRNA from 1 species